CAGCCGCCGCGGUAAUACGUAGGGUGCGAGCGUUAAUCGGAUUUACUGGGCGUAAAGCGUGCGCAGGCGGCCCGUUAAGACAGGUGUGAAAUCCCUGGGCUCAACCUAGGAAUUGCGCUUGUGACUGGCGGGCUCGAGUACGGUAGAGGGGGGUGGAAUUCCUGGUGUAGCAGUGAAAUGCGUAGAGAUCAGGAGGAACACCGAUGGCGAAGGCAGCCCCCUGGGCCUGUACUGACGCUCAUGCACGAAAGCGUGGGGAGCAAAAAGGAUUAGAUACCCUGGUAGUCCACGCCCUAAACGAUGGGUACUAGCCGUUUGGUGCGCGAAAGCGCUGAGUGGCGAAGCUAACGCGUGAAGUACCCCGCCUGGGGAGUACGGCCGCAAGGUUGAAACUUAAAGGAAUUGGCGGG
rnacentral:rRNA from 1 species